rnacentral:rRNA from 1 species
UAAAAGUUCGAAAAGAGAGAUUCAACGUCAGUAUGUAUUGUAUUCACGUGAGUAGUGAUGCAAGUUUUUGGUAAGAGGGUCAAAUCUUUUAUCAAUGCCUGCACAUUUUCAUGUUAUUUUAUUGCAAUACUAUUGCCGGCGUGCACUUCUCUCUUAGUAGGACGUCCCGACCCGUUGAGUCUUGGCCUACGGCACAGAUGGUAGCCUUUAAUAUUUUAUAUUAAAGUCCUCUGAUGUACUCCUGGCUAAAGUACUCGACGGUAGUUUAAGAUAUGGUGUCCAGCCGCAGAAAUGCGUCCGGCCUGUCGCAAGUUUUUGACAUAUUCCACAUUACAUAGACUUAGUGCUAUGUAGAUGGUUGUGUCGCUUUGCAUGACUGUGCUUUAGGACUGGCUUACUUCACCUGUCGGGGACGCUUAGGCUUUGGGNNNNNNNNNNACCCGUCUUGAAACACGGACCAAGGAGUCUAACAUGUACGCGAGUCAUUGGGUAUAUAUUUUCCUUCUGGGAAUUUAUAUAAAACAAACCUAAAGGCGCAAUGAAAGUAAAGGUUGGAACUCGCUUCCGACUUAGGGAUGAUGGGUUAUUAAUUUAUCCCCGCAAUCCCGGGGCAUCUUAAUCUCAUUGCGAGAUGA